CAGCAGCCACGGUAAUACGAAGGGUGCAAGCGUUAAUCGGAAUUACUGGGCGUAAAGCGUGCGUAGGCGGUUUGUUAAGUCUGUUGUGAAAUCCCCGGGCUCAACCUGGGAAUGGCAAUGGAUACUGGCAAGCUAGAGUGUGUCAGAGGAUGGUGGAAUUCCCGGUGUAGCGGUGAAAUGCGUAGAGAUCGGGAGGAACAUCAGUGGCGAAGGCGGCCAUCUGGGACAACACUGACGCUGAGGCACGAAAGCGUGGGGAGCAAACAGGAUUAGAUACCCCCGUAGUCCCUGUCUCUUAUAA
rnacentral:rRNA from 1 species